UAGAGUUUGAUCAUGGCUCAGGAUGAACGCUAGCGACAGGCUUAACACAUGCAAGUCGAGGGGCAGCGGGGAGGUAGCAAUACUUCCGCCGGCGACCGGCGCACGGGUGAGUAACACGUAUGGAACCUGCCCGUAGCAGGGGGAUAAACGGAAGAAAUUCCGUCUAAUACCGCGUAAUAACUCCGAGAGGCAUCUCAUGGAGUUUAAAGGGUAACACCGGCUACGGAUGGCCAUGCGGCGCAUUAGCUAGUUGGCGGGGUAACGGCCCACCAAGGCGACGAUGCGUAGGGGUUCUGAGAGGAAGGUCCCCCACACUGGUACUGAGACACGGACCAGACUCCUACGGGAGGCAGCAGUGAGGAAUAUUGGUCAAUGGGCGCGAGCCUGAACCAGCCAAGUCGCGUGAGGGAAGACGGUCCUAUGGAUUGUAAACCUCUUUUGUCGGGGAGCAAAAGACGCCACGUGUGGCGUUCCGAGAGUACCCGAAGAAAAAGCAUCGGCUAACUCCGUGCCAGCAGCCGCGGUAAUACGGAGGAUGCGAGCGUUAUCCGGAUUUAUUGGGUUUAAAGGGUGCGCAGGCGGAAGAUCAAGUCAGCGGUAAAAUUGAGAGGCUCAACCUCUUCGAGCCGUUGAAACUGGUUUUCUUGAGUGAGCGAGAAGUAUGCGGAAUGCGUGGUGUAGCGGUGAAAUGCAUAGAUAUCACGCAGAACUCCGAUUGCGAAGGCAGCAUACCGGCGCUCAACUGACGCUCAUGCACGAAAGUGUGGGUAUCGAACAGGAUUAGAUACCCUGGUAGUCCACGCAGUAAACGAUGAAUGCUAGUUGUCCGGUUCUUUGGGACUGGGUGACACAGCGAAAGCGUUAAGCAUUCCACCUGGGGAGUACGCCGGCAACGGUGAAACUCAAAGGAAUUGACGGGGGCCCGCACAAGCGGAGGAACAUGUGGUUUAAUUCGAUGAUACGCGAGGAACCUUACCCGGGCUCAAACGACACAGGAAUACUUUUGAAAGGAAGUAGCUCUACGGAGCCUGUGUCGAGGUGCUGCAUGGUUGUCGUCAGCUCGUGCCGUGAGGUGUCGGCUUAAGUGCCAUAACGAGCGCAACCCCCAUCGCCAGUUACCAGCAAGUCAAGUUGGGGACUCUGGCGAGACUGCCGGCGCAAGCUGUGAGGAAGGCGGGGAUGACGUCAAAUCAGCACGGCCCUUACGUCCGGGGCGACACACGUGUUACAAUGGCAGGUACAGAGAGAAGCAAUGCGGCGACGCAAAGCGGAACUUGAAAGCCUGUCUCAGUUCGGAUUGGAGUCUGCAACUCGACUCCAUGAAGCUGGAUUCGCUAGUAAUCGCGCAUCAGCCAUGGCGCGGUGAAUACGUUCCCGGGCCUUGUACACACCGCCCGUCAAGCCAUGGAAGCCGGGAGUGCCUGAAGUGUGCAACCGCAAGGAGCGCCCUAAGGUAAAACUGGUGACUGGGGCUAAGUCGUAACAAGGUAGCCGUAA
rnacentral:rRNA from 1 species